rfam:Prevotella sp. CAG:1092 genomic scaffold, scf201
GUCGACGUAGCUCAGCCGGAUAGAGCAUGCGCCUUCUAAGCGCACGGUCGGGGGUUCGAAUCCCUCCGUCGACG